rnacentral:rRNA from 1 species
CGAUGAACCUCACUUCGGGAGGGGAUUAGUGGCGAACGGGUGAGUAACACGUGGGCAAUCUGCCCUGCACUCUGGGACAAGCCCUGGAAACGGGGUCUAAUACCGGAUACGACACUCUCGGGCAUCCGAUGAGUGUGGAAAGCUCCGGCGGUGCAGGAUGAGCCCGCGGCCUAUCAGCUUGUUGGUGAGGUAAUGGCUCACCAAGGCGACGACGGGUAGCCGGCCUGAGAGGGCGACCGGCCACACUGGGACUGAGACACGGCCCAGACUCCUACGGGAGGCAGCAGUGGGGAAUAUUGCACAAUGGGCGAAAGCCUGAUGCAGCGACGCCGCGUGAGGGAUGACGGCCUUCGGGUUGUAAACCUCUUUCAGCAGGGAAGAAGCGAAAGUGACGGUACCUGCAGAAGAAGCGCCGGCUAACUACGUGCCAGCAGCCGCGGUAAUACGUAGGGCGCAAGCGUUGUCCGGAAUUAUUGGGCGUAAAGAGCUCGUAGGCGGCUUGUCGCGUCGGUUGUGAAAGCCCGGGGCUUAACCCCGGGUCUGCAGUCGAUACGGGCAGGCUAGAGUUCGGUAGGGGAGAUCGGAAUUCCUGGUGUAGCGGUGAAAUGCGCAGAUAUCAGGAGGAACACCGGUGGCGAAGGCGGAUCUCUGGGCCGAUACUGACGCUGAGGAGCGAAAGCGUGGGGAGCGAACAGGAUUAGAUACCCUGGUAGUCCACGCCGUAAACGGUGGGCACUAGGUGUGGGCGACAUUCCACGUCGUCCGUGCCGCAGCUAACGCAUUAAGUGCCCCGCCUGGGGAGUAC